AAAACUAUAAAAUACUGAUGAAAGAAAUUGAAGAGAAGACGCACACAAUAAAAUGGAAAAAAGGAAAAAGGAAGAAGCAGAGGGUCAGCAGAUGUUGAAAGAGGUAUAAUCAAGCUCAUACUCCAUUAAACAGAAAGCAAACUAAGAGCUGGAGAGAUGAAGAGACUUGGUCAACAUCAUACAUGUGAGUGGUUGGAAACCUGAGGUGGACCCCAAUCCAAUUUUCUUUACUUUGCCUCAAGCGGCCUAUAGUUGCUCAUGAUUUUAGAUGUAUCCAUUGC
rnacentral:lncRNA from 1 species